UACGAACUGUGCAAACGUUAUUCGGAAUCACUGGGCUUACAGGGUGCGUAGGCGGCCUGACAAGUAGGGUGUGAAAGCCCCCGGCUCAACCGGGGAAUGGCGCCCUAAACUGUCGGGCUGGAGUGAGAUAGGGGUGUGCGGAACUUCCGGUGGAGCGGUGAAAUGUGUUGAUAUCGGAAGGAACGCCGGUGGCGAAAGCGGCGCACUGGAUCUCAACUGACGCUGAGGCACGAAAGCGUGGGGAGCGAACAGG
rnacentral:rRNA from 1 species